rnacentral:rRNA from 1 species
GGGUUGUGAGGUUAAGCGACUAAGCGUACACGGUGGAUGCCCUGGCAGUCAGAGGCGAUGAAGGACGUGCUAAUCUGCGAUAAGCGUCGGUAAGGUGAUAUGAACCGUUAUAACCGGCGAUUUCCGAAUGGGGAAACCCAGUGUGAUUCGUCACACUAUCAUUAACUGAAUCCAUAGGUUAAUGAGGCGAACCGGGGGAACUGAAACAUCUAAGUACCCCGAGGAAAAGAAAUCAACCGAGAUUCCCCCAGUAGCGGCGAGCGAACGGGGAGCAGCCCAGAGCCUGAAUCAGUGUGUGUGUUAGUGGAAGCGUCUGGAAAGGCGCGCGAUACAGGGUGACAGCCCCGUACACAAAAAUGCACAUGCUGUGAGCUCGAUGAGUAGGGCGGGACACGUGGUAUCCUGUCUGAAUAUGGGGGGACCAUCCUCCAAGGCUAAAUACUCCUGACUGACCGAUAGUGAACCAGUACCGUGAGGGAAAGGCGAAAAGAACCCCGGCGAGGGGAGUGAAA